UACGGUAGGGGGCUAGCGUUGUUCGGAAUUACUGGGCGUAAAGCGCGCGUAGGCGGAUCUGCAAGUCGGGGGUGAAAUCCCGAGGCUCAACCUCGGAACUGCCUUCGAUACUGCGGGUCUCGAGUCCGGGAGAGGUGAGUGGAAUUCCGUAGUGUAGAGGUGAAAUUCGUAGAUAUUAGGAAGAACACCAGUGGCGAAGGCGGCUCACUGGCCCGGUACUGACGCUGAGGCGCGAAAGCGUGGGGAGCAAACAGG
rnacentral:rRNA from 1 species